rnacentral:rRNA from 1 species
UACGAAGGGGGCUAGCGUUGUUCGGAAUUACUGGGCGUAAAGCGCACGUAGGCGGAUCGGUCAGUUAGGGGUGAAAUCCCGGGGCUCAACCCCGGAACUGCCUUUAAUACUGCUGGUCUAGAGUUCGAGAGAGGUGAGUGGAAUUCCGAGUGUAGAGGUGAAAUUCGUAGAUAUUCGGAGGAACACCAGUGGCGAAGGCGGCUCACUGGCUCGAUACUGACGCUGAGGUGCGAAAGCGUGGGGAGCAAACAGG